rnacentral:rRNA from 1 species
CGGUAGAGAUCUUUCGGGAUCUUGAGAGCGGCGUACGGGUGCGGAACACGUGUGCAACCUGCCUUUAUCUGGGGGAUAGCCUUUCGAAAGGAAGAUUAAUACCCCAUAACAUUUUGAAUGGCAUCAUUUAAAAUUGAAAACUCCGGUGGAUAGAGAUGGGCACGCGCAAGAUUAGAUAGUUGGUGAGGUAACGGCUCACCAAGUCUGCGAUCUUUAGGGGGCCUGAGAGGGUGAUCCCCCACACUGGUACUGAGACACGGACCAGACUCCUACGGGAGGCAGCAGUGAGGAAUAUUGGACAAUGGGUGAGAGCCUGAUCCAGCCAUCCCGCGUGAAGGACGACGGCCCUAUGGGUUGUAAACUUCUUUUGUAUAGGGAUAAACCUUUCCACGUGUGGGAAGCUGAAGGUACUAUACGAAUAAGCACCGGCUAACUCCGUGCCAGCAGCCGCGGUAAUACGGAGGGUGCAAGCGUUAUCCGGAUUUAUUGGGUUUAAAGGGUCCGUAGGCGGAUCUGUAAGUCAGUGGUGAAAUCUCACAGCUUAACUGUGAAACUGCCAUUGAUACUGCAGGUCUUGAGUGUUAUUGAAGUAGCUGGAAUAAGUAGUGUAGCGGUGAAAUGCAUAGAUAUUACUUAGAACACCAAUUGCGAAGGCAGGUUACUAAGCAACAACUGACGCUGAUGGACGAAAGCGUGGGGAGCGAACAGGAUUAGAUACCCUGGUAGUCCACGCCGUAAACGAUGCUAACUCGUUUUUGGGCUUUCGGGCUCAGAGACUAAGCGAAAG